GGGUCAGUAGGUUGGUCGUGCCACCGGUACGUACUGGUCUCACUGAUUCCUCCUUCCUGAAGAACCGUAAUGCCAUUAAUUUGGUGGUGCGGGGAAACAGGACUGUUACUUUGAAAAAAUUAGAGUGUUUAAAGCAAGCUAACGCUUGAAUACAUUAGCAUGGAAUAAUGAAAUAGGACGAUCGAUCCUAUUUUGUUGGCUUCUAGGAAUGACGUA
rnacentral:rRNA from 1 species